CCUAGGGAGGCAGCAGUGGGGAAUAUUGGACAAUGGGCGAAAGCCUGAUCCAGCAAUGCCGCGUGAGUGAUGAAGGCCUUCGGGUCGUAAAGCUCUUUUACCAGGGAUGAUAAUGACAGUACCUGGAGAAUAAGCUCCGGCUAACUCCGUGCCAGCAGCCGCGGUAAUACGGAGGGAGCUAGCGUUGUUCGGAAUUACUGGGCGUAAAGAGUACGUAGGCGGUUAUUCAAGUCAGAGGUGAAAGCCCGGGGCUCAACCCCGGAACUGCCUUUGAAACUAGAUAACUAGAGUCUUGGAGAGGUUAGUGGAAUUCCGAGUGUAGAGGUGAAAUUCGUAGAUAUUCGGAAGAACACCAGUGGCGAAGGCGACUAACUGGACAAGUACUGACGCUGAGGUACGAAAGCGUGGGGAGCAAACAGGAUUAGAUACCCUGGUAGUCCACGCCGUAAACGAUGAUAACUAGUUGUUCGGUCACUUGGUGACUGAGUGAGCANCACACAUAUUAUCGCGUGGNGGUAGUCGCAGAGUAAACUACAAUAGAGUAGACGCGUGUAGAGUUGCGACGACGACGACGAGGAGGAGG
rnacentral:rRNA from 1 species